GCUAUGGGCAUCUGGUAUUGUGCGAUUCCUGCAUGAAAACUGUAGCUGGUGGUGCCUGGCUCUAGAAUACCACUUCUGCCGUCACAGUCAAGUCUGCC
rnacentral:miRNA from 1 species